rnacentral:rRNA from 1 species
UACGGAGGAUCCAAGCGUUAAUCGGAAUUACUGGGCGUAAAGCGUGCGCAGGCGGCUUUGCAAGACAGAUGUGAAAUCCCCGGGCUCAACCUGGGAACUGCAUUUGUGACUGCAUGGCUAGAGUGCGGCAGAGGGGGAUGGAAUUCCGCGUGUAGCAGUGAAAUGCGUAGAUAUGCGGAGGAACACCGAUGGCGAAGGCAAUCCCCUGGGCCUGCACUGACGCUCAUGCACGAAAGCGUGGGGAGCAAACAGG